UCAACAAUUUAGAUAACAGAUUGAUCUCCUAAUAGGUCAUUAAACUUCCUUUGCAUUUUGAUGGUCAAAAAAAUCAUGAAAGCUAUACUCGACUUUCCCCUGAAUUUCCAGUUUGUCUAAUGGCUAAAGGAGAGAAAGCAGAAUCAGGAGUGGAUAAUACAGCUGGCCUUUCAGAGAAGGAAACACAGAAGAAUCCUCGUGCACCAAUGGAUGAGGCAGACGUUAAAUCCGCAGCACACUCUUCUCAGGGGAGCCUUCCUAAAAAAAUCGGUCCCUGUUCUAUGGACUAUGAUCCCAAUCUCUUAAAAGAAGACGAUGAACUACACUCUCAGGGAGAUAGCCUGAUGGAUCAUUCUGUGAAUGGAAAAUCAACUGUUUGGAGAAUUGGAGAAGCUGAAGAUUAUUCACAGGACAUAUCUUACUUGGAGGAACUGAAGGAACACCGAUUUUCUGUUUGGUUGCACAAUGACUCUUGGAUAUUAGAUGCUUUUCAGUGCAUCCACAGUGAAGAAACCAAGUUCUUCAUACCGUAUGACUUGGAGAUUUCCAAUCAGGAGCUAAGUUAUAUAGUGAAACGAUCUGAGCAAUGGAGAGGAAUCAAUGGUGAAAGAAGAAAGGUGAGUUGGUCUGAAGGAGCUUUGUUUUUUGGACUGCUCAAAAAACCCUCACUCUGCUGGUAUAUCAGCAAGUUGAUGUUUUUUGUGUUGUUCUUGAAGUUAUUUACUGUUGUUUUGGCCACCAUGAUACAAAUCCUUACUAUUGUAUAACUGCCAUUUGACCUGAUUCUUUCUUACCUCUUCAGCCUCAUGUCCUGUAUCCUCAUCCAUCCGACCACUUCCCAGCCAGCAUACUUCUUGCCACAAUAUGAUUAAGCUAUAUAAAAAUAUGAGCAGUUCACUACACAUGCCAUACUGUUUCUCGCGUCCACGCAUUCCUCUCUGUUUGGAGCAAUAUCCUCCCAAUUUCUCAUGUAGUAUUUGGUAAACUAAUCAUUCUUCCAGGGCUCAGCUUGAG
rnacentral:lncRNA from 1 species